AGGUGGCUAGUCUAAACAAAACAUUUGAUUUCGGCUCAAAAACUUGUGGUUAAACCCCACAGCCGCCUU
rnacentral:tRNA from 1 species